rnacentral:rRNA from 1 species
UGGGGAAUAUUGCACAAUGGGCGCAAGCCUGAUGCAGCCAUGCCGCGUGUAUGAAGAAGGCCUUCGGGUUGUAAAGUACUUUCAGCGGGGAGGAAGGCGAUAAGGUUAAUAACCUUGUCGAUUGACGAUACCCGCAGAAGAAGCACCGGCUAACUCCGUGCCAGCAGCCGCGGUAAUACGGAGGGUGCAAGCGUUAAUCGGAAUUACUGGGCGUAAAGCGCACGCAGGCGGUCUGUCAAGUCGGAUGUGAAAUCCCCGGGCUCAACCUGGGAACUGCUUUCGAAACUGGCAGGCUAGAGUCUUGUAGAGGGGGGUAGAAUUCCAGGUGUAGCGGUGAAAUGCGUAGAGAUCUGGAGGAAUACCGGUGGCGAAGGCGGCCCCCUGGACAAAGACUGACGCUCAGGUGCGAAAGCGUGGGGAGCAAACA